AGAUUGAACGCUGGCGGCAGGCCUAACACAUGCAAGUCGAGCGGCAGCACGGGCACUUGUACCUGGUGGCGAGCGGCGGACGGGUGAGUAAUGCCUAGGAAUCUGCCUGGUAGUGGGGGAUAACGCUCGGAAACGGACGCUAAUACCGCACACGUCCUACGGGAGAAAGCAGGGGGACCUUCGGGCCUUGCGCUAUCAGAUGAGCCUAGGUCGGAUUAGCUAGUUGGUGAGGUAAUGGCUCACCAAGGCGACGAUCCGUAACUGGUCUGAGAGGAUGAUCAGUCACACUGGAACUGAGACACGGUCCAGACUCCUACGGGAGGCAGCAGUGGGGAAUAUUGGACAAUGGGCGAAAGCCUGAUCCAGCCAUGCCGCGUGUGUGAAGAAGGUCUUCGGAUUGAAAGCACUUUAGUGGAGAGGCAGUUACUAAUACGUAUCUGUUUGACGUUACCGACUAAGAAUAAGCACCGGCUAACUCGUGUCG
rnacentral:rRNA from 1 species